GGGCCUCUAGCAUAAUCGGCUAAUGCACCUCAUCAGCACUGAGGGUUAUCCAGUUCGAGCCUGGGAGUGUCCA
rnacentral:tRNA from 1 species